rnacentral:rRNA from 1 species
AACGAACGCUGGCGGCGUGCCUAACACAUGCAAGUCGAACGGGUCAAUGCUGUAGUAAUACAGCAUUGACUUAGUGGCGGACGGGUGAGUAACACGUAGGUACCUACCCUCAAGGGGGGGACAACUCAGGGAAACUUGAGCUAAUACCGCAUAAGACCACGACUGGGAUGUUUGUGGUAAAAGGAGCAAUCCACUUGGGGAUGGGCCUGCGGCUAUCAGGAGUUGGUGGGGUAACGGCUCACCAAGCCGAAGACGGGUAGCCGGACUGAGAGGUCGGACGCCACACUGGGACUGAGACACGGCCCAGACUCCUACGGGAGGCAGCAGUGGGGAAUCUUCGCAAUGGGGGAAACCCUGACGCAGCGACGCCGCGUGGAGGAUGAAGGUCUUCGGGUUGAAACUCCUUUUCUUAGGGAAAAUGAUGAUGGUACCUAAGGAAUAAGCCACGGCUAACUCGUGCCAGCAGCCGCGGUAAGACAGAGGUGGCGAGCGUUGUUCGGAAUUACUGGGCUUAAGGGCGAGUAGGCGGUGGAGCAAGUCCGAGGUGGAAUCCUAUGGCUUAACCAUAGAACUGCUUGGAUACUGUUUUACUUGAGUCAGUGAGGGGAGGGCGGAAUUCCCGGUGUAGCGGUGAAUGCGUAGAUAUCGGGAGA